GACGAACGCUGGCGGCGCGCUUAACACAUGCAAGUCGAACGGAAAGGCCUGCUUUCCCUUGUGGAUUGCGGGUACUCGAGUGGCUAACGGGUGAGUAACACGUGAGUGAUCUGCCCCCAACUUGGGUAUAAGCCUGGGAAACUGGGUCUAAUUCCCGAUAGGACUGCAGGGUGGUGCCUGUGGUGGAAAACGAUUUUCUAGUGGUUGGGGAUGAGCUCGCGGCCUAUGAGCUUGUUGGUGGGGUAAUGGCCUACCAAGGCGGCGACGGGUAGCCGGCCUGAGAGGGUGGACGGCCACAUUGGGACUGAGAUACGGCCCAGACUGCUACGGGAGGCAGCAGUGGGGGAUAUUGCACAAUGGGCGGAAGCCUGAUGCGGCGACGCCGCGUGGAGGAUGACGGCCUUCGAGUUGUAAACUCCUUUCGACCGCGAGGAAGCCACCUGGUUGGAAGGGUGGUGACGGUAGUGGUAGAAGAAGCACCGGCUAACUACGUG
rnacentral:rRNA from 1 species